rnacentral:misc_RNA from 1 species
AGAGAAAAUCCUUUGAAACAACCUACAGCAGAGCCACCUCCUUGGUCAACUUGUCAAUCAUUAACGGCAAUAGAUGCUCAGGGAAGCAACCAAUUAAGACGGAGACUGGCUUCAGACAAUCCUCCGUCUAACGAAUUGGAAAUGUCAAUGUUACAAGAUCAGGUUCCGAGACAAGAAAGUUACUCUCAGAGUAGAGCAACUGCUCUUCAAAAUGUUGAAUCGACUAUUUCAGAAUUGGGCGGAAUAUUCACACAUCUAGCUACCAUGGUCGCACAACAAGGUGAGCUUGCUAUAAGAAUCGACGAUAACGUUGAUGAGUCAUUGACAAAUGUUGAAGGUGCACAAGGUGCUUUGUUAAAGUACUUGAAUCGAAUAUCAUCAAACAGGUACCUCAUGAUCAAAAUUUUUGUU